UGUGAGACUGCGGACGGCUCAGUAAAUCAGUGAUAAUCUGUUUGAUUUUCUCUCCCAUUGGAUAACCGUGGGAAAUCUAGAGCUAAUACGUGCGGUACAUUGGCUAGCCUUUCAGGUUAGUCAAAGCAUUUAUUAGACUAAACCAACUACUAUGCUCACGCAUAGUAAGGGGAAUCUGGAUAACUUUGCUGAUCGUAUGGCCUUGCGCCGGCGACGUUUCAAUUGAGUUUCUGCCCUAUCAACUUGUUGGUAAGGUAUUGGCUUACCAAGGUUGCAACGGGUAACGGGGAAUCAGGGUUCGAUUCCGGAGAGGGAGCCUGAGAAACGGCUGCUGCCACAUCCAAGGAAGGCAACAGGCGCGCAAAUUACCCAAUCUAUACAGUAGGAGGUGGUGAAGAGAAUUACUAAAUGGUGGUUUUAUGGAUCACUUGUUUGGAAUGAACGUAACUUAAGAAAUUCGAUGAUAAACAACUGGAGGGCAAGUCCUGGUGCCAGCAGCCGCGGUAAUUCCAGCUCCAGUAGUUUGCUUUAAAGUUGUUGCGUUUAAAACGCUCGUAGUUGGAUCACGCAGUAAUGCUCAGUAAUCUUUUGCUGUCACCUGCCUGGCGUUCCUAACGACAGGCACGGAGUCAUGUAUUAGAUAGUACGCUGGGCGUUGCUAGUUGCACGUGAGAUAGAUUGUUGGCCUUGAAUGCGCCGAUAUUCUCGUCUUGCGGGGUGUGCCUUGAAUAAAACACAGUGCUCAAAGCAGGUUAUUGCCUGAAUGUUAAANCAUGGAACGAACAAUCGUGUAUAAGUGCGUACUAUUGACAGCUACUGGCCUAUGGCUGAUAGUGGUCAACUGUGCGCACGGCACCCACCAAAAUAUGGCUGUUGGUUCCAUAUCCGGUGAUGAUUAACAGGAGCGGUUGGGGGCAUCAGUAUUUGGCCGCGAGAGGUGAAAUUCUUAGACCGGCCAAGGACUAACAAAUGCAAAGGCACUUGUCUAGACCGUUUCCAUUAAUCAAGAACGAAAGUGGGAGGCUCGAAGACGAUCAGAUACCGUCGUAGUUCCCACCGUAAACUAUGCCGACCUGGGAUCAGUCUAGAGAUGUUACAAGCUCUAGGUUGGUCCCCCUGGGAAACCUCAAGUUUUUCGGUUACGGGGAGAGUAUGGUCGCAAGGCUGAAACUUAAAGGAAUUGACGGAAGGGCACCACCAGGGGUGGAGCCUGCGGCUUAAUUUGACUCAACACGGGGAAGCUUACCUGGUCCGGACAUCGAUAGGAUUAUCAGANUAAUGGCUCUUAUAUGAUCCGAUGAGUGGUGGUGCAUGGCCGUUCUUAGUUCGUGGAGUGAUCUGUCAGNUUAAUUGCGGUAACGAACGAGACCACAAUCACUAUUUAAAAAAUAGAAGUAGGUGCCUGGAGGGUCGGCGCAAGUCG
rnacentral:rRNA from 1 species